AUAAACCUGCUCUCCUAGGAGACCUGAAGGCUGCUUCCGCUAACCCGGGCUGGCGCUGCUAACCUCACCCAACGAUCCCUGCUGUCGGAAAAUGUCCAGAGGCACCAUCCCUGCUAUGAAGAGGGAAUGCCAGUACAACAGCCACAAGGGGUCUUCCUGUGGCCCUCAAACAAAAAAUCACUGCAUUACAUCAGCAGGCCGGACGCGGUGGUUCAUGCCUGUAAUCCCAGCACUGUGGGAGGCCGAGACGGGCGGAUCACGAGGUCAGCAGAUCGAGACCAUCCUGGCUAACACGACUGCAUUGGAGAGAAAGGCGCCGGGACAGAAAAGCCUGAGAUAAACCACCUGUCAUUCUUGGAGAAAAGGAUGCUGCGGCUUUCCCGAUUUGGUUGAUGAGAUGGAAAAUCAACCCUUACAGGAAGGACAUCACCAAUUCCGGAAAGGAUGCUGCGCCAGUCAUGUUUCCGCACUCUGUGAGACGUUGAAAUCUCCAGAAGUUGCCCAAGGUUUUCAAGCUGAACACAGGAGAAAUGACUCUGGAUCUCUGAGGACUGUUUUCCUCAAUAAGGAGCUGCAAUCUUGGCUCCACCACCCUCCCUCCAAAACAUCUCGUGUGUCUGGUAUCUGGUUAUAUUGUGGCCUGACAGAGAAGUUUCUUUCGGGGCCAGUGAAUUAAAAAAAAAAAAAAAAAGAAAAGCGGGUCCUACCAACUCAUUAAUACUUUAAUACUUUAAAUUUCCCUCUUUAUAGUAGGUUGAAAUGUCAGUAUCUCUUAAGAACAAUGGCUGAACCAAAUGUUUCCUCAAAACUCACAUUUUUUCCCACCAUUUCAGAAGCUGCCUCAGGACUAAGCUUUGAUUUUUUUUUUUUUUUUUAAUCUGGCCCAAAUUCCUAUCUAAGGGGCCUGGGGAGUCAUGCCCAACAAACCAUAAAUUCUCAUCAGAUGAGUUUUAUUUAACCCUAUAUAUGGUGACUUGCUUUCCAGUCUGACUCUGGCAUGACAUGUGACAAAGAAGAAAGUCAAAAUAUUUUACCCCAAAACAUGUUUCUUUGCCAUAUUUUGAAAUGGUCCUGCAAAGCUGUGCUUUGUGGGGGAAAAUAUGCAUCUGUAAAGAAUCUCUAUUAACACAGCUAGAUCUUUUUCUUCCAGGCCCUCCCAAUCCUGAAGAGACUGAGAGUCUAGCAUUGUUUUAAAGGUCUGAAUAGGAAACAUUUGUCAUCUAUCAUCUCUAAGGGUAGCCAUUAUAAGACUUCAAAAGAACCUUUUGAAGUAUUAUAAUCUUUUAUCUUAACCUGAACAUGUGCUUCCUAUUGAUCCCAGGUCUUCAGACAAUUGUGAACUCAACCAUUUGUCAAUUAGAAAAUGUUUAAAUUGGCUGGGCACAGUGUCUCAUGCCUCUAAUCCCAGCACUUUGGAAGACCAAGGCGGGCAGAUUGCCUGACCUCAGGAGUUCGAGACCAGCCUGGGCAACAUGGUGAAACCCCGUCUCUACUAAAAUACAAAAAUUUAGCCGGGCGUAGUGGCAUGCACCUGUAGUCCCAGCUACUUGGGAAGCUGAGGAAGGAGAAUUGCUUGAACCCGGCGGGCAGAGGUUGCAGUAAGCAGAGAUCGUGCCACUGCACUCCAGCUUGGGCAACAAAGUGAGACUCCAUCACAGAAAAAAAAAAGAAAAUGUUUACCUUUACCUAUAGCCUGGAAAUCCCUGCUUUGAGUUGCUCCAUCUUUCUGAACCAAACCAAUGUUAUUUCUUAAACGUAUUUCAUUGAUGUCUCAUGCCUCCCUAAAAUGUAUAAAACCAAGCUGUGCCCCGAACACCUUGGGCACAUGUUCUCAGGACCUCCUGAGGGCCGUGUCACGGGUCAUAAUCACUCAUAUUUGGCUCAGAAUAAAUCUCUUCAAACAUUUUACAGAGUUGACUCUUAGUCAACAUGUCCAUACCUGAUGAGAUGCUUCAUCAAAAUUCUAGUGGACUGGCUAGUUCAGAAAAUGGACCAGCCAGGUUUGCUUAAAUGCACCCCUGCACAACUAUCUCACUCCUGCUUGGAGCCGGCUAGAUCAGGAGACCUGUCCCUAAACUAAUGUACUCCAUGUCUUAAGUCUUUUUGUUUUGUUUUGUUUUUGUUUUUGACAGAGUCUCAGUCUGUCACCCAGGCUGGAGUGCAGUGGCGUGAUCUUGGCUCGCUGCAACCUCCGCCUCCCAGGUUCAAGAGAUUCUCCUGUCUCAGCCUCCCAAGUAGCUGGGACAACAGGUGUGCACCACCAUGCCCUGCUAAUUUUUGUGUUUUAAGUAGAGAUGGGGUCUCACCCUGUUGGCCAGGCUGGUCUCAAAUUCCUGACCUCAGGUGAUCCACCCACCUCGGCCUCCCAAAGUGCUGUAAUUACAGGCAUGAGCCACCGCACCCAGCCCAUGUGUCUUGGUCUUUUUUACUAAUAUUGAUUAUAAAAUGGAUGAAACUUUGGAUA
rnacentral:lncRNA from 1 species